AAGGGAGACCUAAUUCAGGUAUAAGACGAAAAAAAAGUAGUCCCUACCAAGAAUCAAUCCCAAAAGGUCGGAACGAGGUAUGAGGCUUUCAAACUAGUUUCUGGGUUCAUAAAAGACCUGAAUCAGGAACAAGGGCUAUAGCUCAGGUGGUUAGAGCGCACCCCUGAUAAGGGUGAGGUCCCUGGUUCGAGUCCAGGAUGGCCCACCUGCACAGGUGGCAAAAACAAGAGAAACGAGGAAUCAGCACCUUAUCUUAUAUACAUAUAUAAGAGAGAAUGCUGGCUCUGAGUACAGAGUCCAGACGAACCUUGAAAACUGCAUAGAGCUAGGUGAAAAAGCCAAAAAAGAAGACCGCAA
rnacentral:tRNA from 1 species